UUUUUGAAGGUGUGAUCUUUAUGCUCAAAAAAUAAAGAUACUCAAAAAUUUAAUAUUGACCUUCUCGUGAAGGAAAAGCUUUAUAACUAAUUUUUUUUGUGCAUUAUAUAUAUCCUCAAUAUAGACUUUAAAAAAAAAAGAAGUAACUCCCUCUACAAAGAGUGAAGAGUCAAUUAAACUUUUUUUUUUUUAAAAAAAAGGAACCAAUUACUCGUAAAAGUAAUGAUUAUUUUUACAUACCAAACUUGAGGAGAUUACUUAAGAUCACAAAAGUUUUUAUUAAAUUGCAAGCUAGAUGCAUUUGAAACGAUCGUUGAUGUCUUAGCAACACCUUAUGUAACUCAUCAAUCUUUAUGUAAAAAUGCAUUUUUAACACCCAUAUAAAAUAAUGAUCAAUCCUAAUUUAAUAGAAACAAAUGGUAAUACAUGAAUAUCAUUCAUAUUAAUGAGAAAAGUAAAUAUUGAUUUAUAAUCAACUUCUUAAGUUUGUGUCAAUGCCUUAAUCAUUAGUUUAACUUUGUCAUUCAAUGAUACCAUCAUUACGACAUUUAAUUAACUUAGAUUUGCGUAAAUCCCUUAAUCACUAGUCUAGCUUUAUGUCAUUCAAUGGUACCAUCAUUAUGGUAUUUAAUUGAUCUUAUACCCCCAAUUUGUAUACCCCAUGUUUUUCUUAAUUUACCAUACAUCACUUAACAAUGUUCCAUGCAUGGAUUUUGUUAAGUGCCUUAAGUUCCUUUUGCAUAGCCUUUCUCCAAAUUGGAUGAGGAUUGGCUUCAUUAAUGUCAUUAGACUCAUGAUAUAUGGAACUCAAACAAUUGUUAAGUGAUUUUGUAUAUAUAUAAAAAAAAAAUUGUAAUUAAUGUGGUAGGCAUAAAAAUCUCACAAAUGAGGAUUGAUUAAUUGUUAUAAUUGAGCAACAUGCUUGAGGCUUAGUCACAAUACUAGAACUUGAAGUCAGACAUUCUCUUCAAAUAAGGACGUAUAUACAUUAUAUUGGAUCUCCAUUAAACAAGUAAAGAACUAUUUAGUAGACAAUGAAACCUCAUUGAUCAAUGGUGGUAGAGAGACACAUGAUGACCAGACUAUUCCCCUGGAAAUGAGAAUAAAAAAUAUCAUUAGCCGCAAAAAUCUCAAAAAAAUUUAGAUAAUGGGAUAUAAAGAGUUUAUGAAUUUUACAAUCAUAACUCUUAUACUGGUUUAAGUGGUAGAGUAAUCAAGAACACAAAACGAGUUUGAUGAGUGGUUGAGAUAUGAACAAAGCAAAGAUUUCCAAAGACACCAAAAUCAGAAAUCUCAAUUUUUGGGCUAAGGAUUUCAAGAAGAAAUUUAAAAUUAACUACAUGACUAGAAAAUUUGUUCAUCAAGGAAAUAGAAGUAACGAUAUCAUAACAUCAUAAUUAAUCAAUAUUUUUAAUAACAUGCAUUUGGAACAUGAUAUACCGGCUUUCUAAUAAUCAAUGAUUUUUGGUUCAACCACACCAUUUUGUUUUGGGAUGCCAAUACAACAAGUUUAACGAANNNNNNNNNNNNNNNNNNNNNNNNNNNNNNNNNNNNNNNNNNNNNNNNNNNNNNNNNNNNNNNNNNNNNNNNNNNNNNNNNNNNNNNNNNNNNNNNNNNNAUGUAAGUGCCAAAUUAGGUAGUGUCGACAAUGAAAUGGAAAUUUUGGAAUAUAGAAACAACCUCAUUUUUAUGUUCUAAUAAGUAAACCUAUGUAGCAUAAGAAUAGUCAUUAAAAAAAAAGGUAACAAAAUGUUGAUUUCCAUCCUAUGGAUCAAUUAGGACACAACCCCAAGGUAAACUAAUUUGAAAGUUGCAACAAAAAUGGAAAGAGAUGAAAAAAUAAUAGAGGAAUUUAAGGUUGUUUCAAAAUUUCAAGACAUGCUAAGAAACACAUGAGAUUAUAGAUGAUUAGGUAACAACCUUGGUUAAGUAUAUUCAACAUAUAUAUCCCACGAGGAUAAAUAUCUUCACUAAACUUUUCCUAUUAUUCAAUCCCCUAAUACCAUACAAGUGAAAAAUUAAUGUCACGGUCAAAAAUUUUAAUAAGCUUCCAAAGAGAUAAUAAUUUUGGGGAAAAAAACAACCUAAGAAACCUAUGAAUUGAGAUAAUUUAGGAAAAAACUAAAUGUUCGUUAGCUCUAGAAGGGAAUUGAAGCUCAUCAUCAAUAAAGAUUGUUGCUAUCUCGAAUAAUAUCAAGUAAACCAUUAAGAUCGCUAUUAAUGGUAUGAUUAGCAGCACCAAUUAUCGACAAAAAAAUUAUUAAAAAUAUAAGAAAUGAGAGCUUUAAGAUUAUCUAAUUGAUUUGUAAACCUAGGUAAGUGAAUCAGUAUUACGUUUUGUUAAGGAAGCUUAGAUCCAAUUGGUAUCAUUCACCAAGUUAUUGGAUUAAAUUACACUAUCAAACUUUGGCUUUAAAUGAGAAUGAAGAAUCUAACCACAAUCCUUAUUGGGAUUAGAUAUGUUAUUGCAAUAAUGUUUACAAUCGGAUGAGUGCUAAUUUCUAUUGAAAUCAUGAAGCAAUCUCUGAUCAUUGGUCUUCUUUGUAGAAACAUGAGCAUUGAAUUUAAAAUUAAUAAUUGUUACUUGGGAUUCAACCUUCAUAAUCAUUGCCUGGGUUUCCUAAUCACUUUCAAGAAUUACUUAUAUAGUGAAGGCACUCGAAACUAAUCAAAUUUGUCCUCUUAUAAAGUUGUCAUAUUCAAGCUUCAGAAUAGCCAAUAAUUGAAAAACUUAUCAUACUCCGCAAUUUGUUGAAGAAUAUUUGGGUCUAUUGAAGGGGACAAUAUAGGGAAUAUUUGUCCCAUAUGCUCAAAAUGUUCAAUUAACAAAGUGUUCUGUAUGUUUAGGGAUUUGUUAGCUUUAAUUACACAAAACAUUAGCAGUUUUAGAGAAAAUUAAUUUUUUUUUGCAAUCUUAGGUUCCAUGAAAUUAAAAAGCCAAUAACAAGUCAAUAUGGCUUGAGACCCAGUCAUCAUAUUCAAAGUCAUCCAACUUAGAAGCAUUCAUUUUGCCACUAACAUGUGCUAAUUUCCAUUUUCUAUCUUUCAAGAGAAAAAGACUGCUCUUAACCAUGGCAAAUAAUUGAACCCAUUAAGAAGAUUGAGGAAAGUAUCAUAUGAGGGUUGUCAUUUUCCUCCAUGACAAAGAAAAAGCAACAGAGAAAAACUCAUAAUAUUAGAAAGAGAAUGAAAGAAAUUGAGUCAUAGAUACACACAGAAGAAUCCAAAAAUAAAGCAAUAAUACAACCACAAAUAUGAGAAGAAGCUCAAUUACAAAGAAAGGAACUCAAUACAAUCAACUAAAAAGCGUUCCGAAGUUCAUACGAAAAUAUUCAUAAUGUGAAGAUCAUUUCAUGAUUCCUACAAUUUCUUCCUUCUACCAGUCCACUCCAUACAAGGUUUGAUCAACAACUUCUUCAUUGAUUUUCUGGUCUCUCUCCGGUGUAUCAUAGAGCAUUUUUGACAUGUUUCUGCAAGAUACACUUGUUAACUUUAAGCGACAUAAGUGCAAAAAAAUAAGAUCAUGUUGUAUUGCCUGUGCUUCCACUCUGCCUUGUUUAGUACUAUUAUGGAGCAGUACUUCCAUAUAGAACCAGUGAUCUCCAGUUCAUUAUGUUGCCUUCUUUAAACUAACUUUAAUUAUCUAUACAUAUAAAACAAAGUGGUCCCAUCAAGGGGCUAAAUCAAGAAUCAAGUGGGGCGAACAGGAAACAGUGGCAUCAAUUUUUAAGUCCAUAAGCUUUAAUAAAAGGAAUAAAACCAAGGAUAUGAAUAUGUUAUUUUUUCAUUUGUUCAUGCACUGGAAGAUCUUUCCUCUUCAAGCAUUGAACCAGCAUCCUUCUGUGCAAGUUGCUGUCGGAACCUUCUAUAAUUGUCAGAAGUCUGUUUCUGAAAUAUACAGAUAAAACUUUUAGCAAGUCUUGACAUUGCUCAUCACUAGGACAUUGUACUAGGAUACCAAUUCAUCUAAUUAGGGUUAAGUUGGCAUCUCGUACACUAUUUUUUAUUUUUCCUUCAUCUUUUGUUCCCAUUUGCAGUGGAAGUGGCACUUAGAAUAUCUGAUCAUGAAGAAUUAGCUUUCGGUGAGAUGAUACUAGGUCAAUUGCCAUUAUCUUUUUGAGUUACUGUGCGAGCAAUCUUGAAAAUAUUUUGGGAUAAAUAGAAUUUGUGCUUAUCAUAAACAUGCUAAACAUCCAAAUCAAGUGCUUUUACUAUUGAUAUCAAAUCAGUAAUUGAUUUUAACCUUUAUGCUUAUCUUUCAGAUUCUCAAUUAUGUAUCUUGAAUAAUGAUAUUAAGCAGAAAUCAUGAAUUGAAUUGCUUUAAUUAACUGUGCCUUAUCAAGCUUGUCAGCAGUGCUAUUGCUACCGCGAAUCAAAUUCGCUGUGCUUCCCGCCUUCUCCAAAUAAGCCACAAGCCCAAUUAUAUCCGCCCUCCUCCCAUCUCCAAGGGAUCAAAAAAUAAAAUGACUUCAAUCAAUUUUCAAGUUUUCCAUCUUGAUCAGUAGACCACCCGGCAUGAAUGUUACCCUCAGUUUAGGAAUAGGAAUUCCUUUUACUAAUCAUUUGGCACUAAAAACUAUGACCCCUAGCAAUUCAUUCCCUCCAUUAGAUAUCUGGGGGCAUCUUGGCUCAGCCAAAAAUGAUAAGUCAUUGCAUUUCACAUUGCAUUCAUUUGUAUUAAUGAGCUAAUUUUUUUUCACAGAAUGUGAUGUGAAUCGAAUUACUUCCAACCAUGUGUCUCUAUAAGGGUUUAACAAAUGUAAUUUGCAUUGUCUGUACACUUUUUUUUCGGUUUCUUUUCUUUUUUAUGCAUGAUUCAUUAGUCCACGGAUCUUCUAUGCAAAGUGUGCAGGCCAAACACCUCCUUCAAUGCAUUAUUCUAGAAGUUAAGACUCAGUUUACUCCUUAAUUGAUCUGUUCCAUUUACUUCAAAUCAUUUGAUUACAUUAAAUGAAUCUUGAAAUUCAAAAAUGCAUCAAAGUUAAAAGACCUUCCAAUGCAUUAAGAAAUCAUCUGAUACAAAUAUAUGUGAACCUGCAACAACAAUAAUGUCAAAAUGGAAAACUUAGGUAGAAAAUAUUAGAACGGAAACUUACGACGAACUCAAUUUUUGGCGCCUUUCUUCUUCUCAUCUUCUGAUCCAAGAAGCUCUUCCAACACCGUGUCAUCCAAACACUCGAACUCAAUGACUUGCUUUUCUUGCCCAGAAGAGGAACCUCCCAUCUCUAAACUCCUACAAGGCCCAGAAGAUGACGAGGAAGACGAUGAGGAUGGUGAUGGUGGGGGGCGAUGGGAGCCCAUGAUUUCAGAAUAGUACUCAUUAGGAAAGUUAAGAAUGGCAAGAUGACCCCUUAAGUUAAAGGCCGCUCGAUCAUAGGCGCGAGCUGCAUCCUCCGCCCUGUCAAAUGUGCCUAGCCAUAGACGAGCACCUUGCCUAGACGGAUCCCUAAUCUCGGCUGCAAACUUCCCCCAUGGCCUCCUCCUCACCCCUCGGUAUCGAACUUCUUCCUUUUCCUUCCCUUCCUGCUCCUGCUUCUCAUUCCCUUUCGAAUGAUCUUCCAUGCUAAACGUGUCGAUUUGCUAGGCGCAAUUUUUUUGGUUUCAAAUGUGCUGGUUUACGAGAGGCAUGGAUGCUUAUGUAUAUAUAUGGUUGCCACAGUCAGGUCUGACGUCACCGCUCAAUGUAUGUUCCACAGCGUGGGUUGACGAGCUUUCUGAGGGGGUUUCCUCGAAUUCAAAGCAAGUAUAAAAAUUCGAUUCUCCGACCUUUCCAAUGAGGAUCGAACAGGCCUUUUAUUAGAACCGUAUGAUAACUCCACACUGUUUUCAAAUAGUCAAUGUGAUCUAGAUUCUUCGUUAAUUUUUUCCACCUGACUGAUUGUUUACAAUUUUAUUUUUCACCGUCCCAAAUUUAAACCAUUUACGCGAUUCCCUGGAUUGCAUUUUUCUUUAAUGUUGACUUUACGAGGCAAUAGGACCCCCCAGCAACCCCACUAGGGCGACUUCAUGGGAACCAGAUUACUUUUGGAUCCAGAUAUGGUCCAGAAGAAAUAAGACAAAUCAAUUAAUGUCCACUAAAGUUUUGAUGGAACCCUUAGUCCGUGUUUCCUGUGGAUGUAUGUAUUGUAUGCACCUCAAUUUUCACCAAUCCCUGCUACGAGUCCCUUUAAUUUUGACGUUAUAAAUGUUUUUCCUGACAUUAGCAGAGUGUUUUUCUGCCGUCUUUGAGGACCUUCCACGGCCCAUAAACUAAUAAGGAUCGUCCAGUGAAUUUAGUCUUCCCCAGUUAAUUAUCCUGCGAGGGAAACUUGGGCAGUAAGUUGCCUACAUGAGUGGCUCCCGCCUACAUGAGUCAAGGGACCAUACGUCAGGACGACAACCAGUGUGGUCACACCAAAGUGGGUUGCCUGGACUCCAGGGUGGUCGCUUCAAAGUUGUCAAAUGAAGGCUAGCUUGGCAAGUUUUGGAAAACAAUUAUUGAAAAACAUUUUUCAUGAAUAACAGUUUCUAUGAACAGAUUUUAAGAAAGUUUAUUUUGUGAUUUUUAGGAAUAUUUUUAAUUUAAAUUUUUAUAUUUUUAAUUUUUUAUUAAUUUAUUGAUUAUUUAAUAUUAGCUUAAUUAAUGGAUUUUUCUUGGUCCCAAAUUAUUAAUUUAUCAAGAUUUAAUCGCAUCCAUAAUUAGUCUAAUUUCUUUUGGAGUGAGUGUGACAAAGUGCAAAUUUCUAGAGUUUUAUUAAUGUUAUUCAAUGUCAUAAUUUAACUAAUUAUAUUAAUUAUUUAUUAAUCAAAAUAAAUCAUUCACUUGAAAUAUGAUAAUUUAAAUUAAAAGUUUCAAUUAUUUAUUAAUUAGCAAAGUAUGAACUUUUCUUCUUGUUUUAUUAUUGUUAUUCCAUGUAUAUAAUUUAAUUAACUGUUUCCAAUAUUAAUCAAUAAAAAUAGAAUAUAAGCAUGAGAAGAAUUAGUAAAAUUCAUUGAUUUGGAAUUAGAUAGCUAGAGGAAGAACUUCAUCAUCUUCCCAUUACUUAAAUUUGUAUAAAUUCUAAAUAUUUAAACCCCCCCCCCCCCCCCCCCCCCCAAAAAAAAAAAAAAUGGUAAAGAAAGACUCCCCAAGCUUUCUUGGUUGGUGUUACCCUAAAAUUUGUACAAUAAGAUGAACCAUUUGGCUUAAAGCUUGGUGCGAAACCCCUUAUCAAUUGAAAAUAUCAAUGAAGUUGUUGAAUGGUUUUAGAGGACUAUUCUUAUGCAGAGUGGCAUAAGAAGCGAGGAGAUGAAGAGCGGAGAGACGUUAACAUCGGAUGCUGCUACGAAGGUGGGAAUACGGUUAAUUAAUUAGAUUUUGUGAUGGCUUUGAGUUUGAAGGAGUUAGUUUAAUGGGUAUUAUUAGUGAACUGAUAAUUGGAUUUGAUGUAAAGAAGGUUGGUCCAUUGGAUUAGCAAUUGGUUUGGCCUUUUGGGGGCCCCAUUUCCAAAUGCAUUGCCUUUUACAAGCAUUCAACAUCGCUGGACGUAACCAGGCUUGGUUCACCUAAAAGUAUCGCAUGGAUUGAAUUGACUAAGUUUUCAUUGUAGACUAGCCUUGAUUUUCCCUUGACCUGCCCACCAAAUCCUGAUGCCCACGCGAGGGAAUACCUCAAUUUUCUAAUAAUUUAUGCAGUUUCUCUUCAAAGCUCGUGUGAUCACUUGGGUCGGUAAAAUAAUGCAUUCCUCUACUUUUUCUCCCUUCCUAGAUGCAUGUUAUACCAUUAAUUCAAAUGUGAACAUGGGCUUGGCUUUGAAACUUGGUUCAAGGCCCAACAUGUUGACCCACAAUUGAGGUGUAAUUGAAUUUGUACACUUUUCGACUUUGAUACCAUUUGUCAUUACCAUUGACAUUGGGUCAUUGUUGAUUUUGAGUCCACAACUUUUAAGGUUGUUAUUACAAUUUUAAAUUGCGCCCACCCAAUUUAUAUGCAUUAUCCCUUAUAAAUACCGAUAACCUCUCUUUCUUCGAUAAUAUAAAAUGUCACAUAUAUUAUAUAUCUCAAUGUUUUCUUUUACUUUUUUUUUUUUUAUCGAUCGACAUUCUCUCUCAGAUGAUAUGAGAUGUCACAUAUAUUAUAUGUUUCAAUGUUUCUUUUACUUUUUCUCUUUUUCCUCAUGAUUGACAUUGUCUUUCUCAAAUGAUAUGAGUUGUCACAUAUAUUUUAUGUCUCAAUGUUUUCUUUAACUUUUUUUCUCUCUUCUUUAAUGAUCGACGUUCCUUUUCUCAGAUGAUAUGAAAUGUCAUAUAUAUUAUAUGGCUUAAUGUUUUCUUUUACUUAUUCUUUCUUUAUUAAUAAUCGACAUUUUAAGCAAUAUGUGAAUAUAAAGCAUUAAAAUUAUCUCCAUCGUUUUUGGAUGUGGUAUAAAUACACAAUUCUUAUUUUUGUUUUAAAUAUUUCUAUUGCUAUCUAUUGAAAUUUUAUGCAUGAAGCUACCAAGUUAAUUAUACAUAUAUCUUAAGAUUUUUUUUUUUUUUUUUUAUAGGAUAUAUUGUCCAUGAAUAUUUUCUGCAAUGGUAUCUUGUUUGAUUACUAUAAGAAAUAAUAUAUAUAUAUAUAUAUAUAUAUAUAUAUAUAUAUAUAUAUAUAUAUAUAUAUAUUAUAUUUCAAUGUUUCAUAUUUGCUUAAAAUAAAAAUUAUAUUUUAUCACAAUAUUUGGUAUUAAAAAAAAUGAAAUCUCUCUCAUUUAUUAUUACAAAAAAAUUAUAAUUUAUAAUUUUCUAAAUAAGUUUUAUUUAUUUGCUAACUAUAUUCAUGAUUAAAAGAUUUAAAAUUUAUAAAUAAAAAAUAUUAUGUCAUGUCAUUAAAUAAAUAAAAAUAUAUGUAUAUAUUAAAAUUAUGUUUUAUUGUAGCUUUUAAUAUUUUUUUUUUUAUUCUUUUCUUUUUUGAACUACAAUUUUAAUUUUUUUUAAUCAAAAUUUUUUAAUUUACAAAACGAGUAACAUAAAACUUGCCUUUGAACUUUAUUGGAAUGUUAUAUACUACCAUUUGGCUUUCAAGACAUUAGAAAAGGCAUAAGUGUCCCUUUUAUUUUUCCGAAAGGCAUAUUAGACUAUAGUAGGAAGUGUUGUAUAGAGGCAACUAAAAGUUGCCUUUAACUUUAUGAAGUCAUAUACUCCUCUUUGGCUUUGAUGACAUCAACUAGCAAAUUGGAUUUUGUUUCCUUUGCAACAUUUUUCCAUCCAUUAGCCAGUUUUUUUAUACUGUUUGGUGCUUGCCAACAUGGCACACACUAUGGUUCUUAAAAAGUAUUUUUUUUUUUAAGAUACUACGAAAUAAAAUACACGAUUGAAAGAUGAGUCACAAUAAUUUUCAAAACUAAAUUUUUUAAUAUUGUUAAGAAAAUUUGACCACCAAAUGAUUGAUUUUAAAUUACAAAUACUUUUGUUAGCUAAGAAAUUUGUUGUUCUAUUUGUUUCCCUAUAAAUAUGACAACAAUCAUAAAUAUUUUCAUUUUAAGAUAAUUUUCAAAUAUCUUCCAUUAAUAAUAUAAUAGAAUUAGGAAUUUUUUUUUUAGUUAUAACAAUCUAUAAUUAUUUAAGAGUCUUCCUCAAUCUCUAGGUUUAAGAACUUAUUGUUCUUAACAACUAACAUGUCAUCUCUUAAAAUAAUACAUUCUGCAAUAAUUAUUGAAAUAUGAUAUAAUAUAUAUAUCUACUUACAACCAUUUUUGUAGUACCAUUAGAAUUUUUAAUUACCCAUUCUAAAGUAUUUUUAUUCUCUAUUCUUAAACCAUCAAAAUUUAAUUUAAAUCUUUCAUUAAUUGGAUAAAUCCAAUGAAUCUAACAAGUUAAAGGAUUAUGAAUCCGACAAAACAGUUGAUAAUAAAUUAAUAAUGCCAUUAAUAUGAUUUUAAUGUGAAACACAAUUAUCACAUUUAAUACAGUUAGUCCUUGUAUGAUUAAUGUUUUGGAAGCUAAAAUCAAUCUUUUGACUAUAAUAAGAGUUUCUACUAUUUCUAUUUUUGGAUGAUUUUAUAUUUUUCUUAUUGUUUUAGUUUAAUACAAAAAAUAAAAAUAAAAUUACAUUAGUAGAAUUUUUUUAACUUACUCAAAAACCUAUUUUAGUUGAAUGAUUUUUUUAAAAAAAAUAUAAAUAUUUUGUUAAAAGGGAUAAAAUAACCUUACCUUGUGAAAAAGACCUCUUCACCCAAGAUUACUUGUUCAUAAUCCUUUUAAGACGAAAAUGCCCCCUUCCUAAAAAAUAUUUCAUCUUAAACUUAUUUUUCUUUUUAUUGCCCUUUGUUCCAUCCUUCCGGCUUGGGAGAGAAAUUCAUUCUUCUUUUGCGAAGAAAAAUUCCUAUUGCGAUUUUUCAUUUCAAGUGGAAAAAAAAAUUCUUAUUUCAUUUUAAAGAAAUUGUACAUUUUCAAUCUUUCUCUUUGUUCCUAGUUGAGGGUUUUUUUUGUAAUUUUAUCUUAACACUACAAAUUUAAAGGUGAGAUUAAAUCUUAAUGGUUAUUAGUUAAAUCACAUAUCUAACUUUGUUUUUGUCAGGACCUAUAAUAUGAUUGGAACCACCAUCCAAACUUCAUUAGGUGGGAUACUCCCCACCCUCCCCCUCCCCCCGCGAAAUCCUUGGAUUUUAGUUUUGACUUGGAUUUCAAUUGCCCGUAUCAAUUUUUCUUUAUUUAUUAAUUUAUUAAUUUUCAACUUUAACAAAAGCCUUGAAUCAUAUUUAAAUUCAAAUAACUUAAUCCUAAUUAAGUUCUUUUUAAAUAAAAAUUAAUCAUUGAAAAGUUCAUGUGACUAUUAUAAUUGAGAAUUUAUCCCAAGUUGGGUUUUUUGCAAAUAAAAUUUUAUUAUAGGACAUCAUGAUGCAACAUAACAUAAGGUUGUUACUUAAGUUUGUUUUGACCUUGUAAUAUGUUAAAAUGAAAAUGAAGCCAUUGUAACAGGAGAGAAUGAUGAAGCUGUGGAGAGAGCUUAACAAAGCUUGGGUUGGAGAGACUUCACAGGAAGAGAGAGAGAGAAAUAAAGGGUAAAAUUAUCAAAAGAGAAAAGAAAAAAAAAAAAAAAAAAGAAGGUUAUGUCUUCAAAUAAUCAAUAAGAGAUGUCAUUUUUCUAAUUUUCAAAGUUCUUUUGGUCCUUCUCUACAAAUAUCCCUAUAAAAAUAUUAUAAUAUCAAGUUAAUUUGUCAAUACCAAAAUUUAUAUUUUAUAUUAGGGCGACUAAAUAACAUAUAGAAAGAAUUUUAAAUGAGUAAAUCAAAUCAAUUUUGAAACCAAAACUUAAUAAUUACCAAACUUGUAAUCUUAGUCAUUAAAAGUGUACGAUGAAAUCUAAAUUAUUAAGCAAUGAAACAAAAAAUUAAGAUUAAAAUACAAAACGUUAAAAUCAAGAUACAAACUAUUAAAAUGUAAGUGGGAUAUGAGAUGAUAUUAUAAAAAAUAGUGUGAUCCAACAAAAAGUCUAGUACAUCAUUAUCUUCACUUCCAACCAUGUUUAAAAGGUCACAAGUUCUAGCGGUUUCCAAGGACAAUGUUAAAAAUAAUAAAAAUAAAUCCAAUUAAAUAUUAAUUAAUUUAUUUGAAUUUGAGUCCGACAAAAUAGUUGGUAAUAAGUUAAUAAUGCCAUUAAUAUGAUUUUAAUGUGAAACACAAUUAUCACAUUUAAUACCCGUUAGUCCUUGUAUGAUUAACUUUUUAGAAAUUAAUAUCAAUCUUUUGAUUAUAAUAAGAGUUUCUACUAUUUAUAUUUUUGGAUGAUUUUAUAUUUUUCUUAUUGUUUUAGUUUAAUACAAAAAAAUAAAAAUAAAAUUACAUUAGUAGAAUUUUUUUUAACUUAUUCAAAAAACCUAUUGUAAGGUGAAUGGUUUUUUUAUUUUUUUUUUAAAUAUAAAUAUUUUCUUAAAAGGGAUAAAAUAACCUUACCUUGUGAAAAAAGGCCUCUUCACCCAAAUUUACUUGUGCAUAAUCCUUUUCAGACGAAAAUGCCCCCUUCCUAAAAAAUAUUUCAUCUUAAACUUAUUUUUCAUUUUUAUAACCCUUUGUUCCAUCCUUAUGAUUUGGGAGAGGAAGUCAUUCUUCUCUUGUGAAGAAAAAAUUCCUACUGCCAUUUUUCAUUUCAAGUGAAGAAAAAUAUUUAUAUUUCAUUUUAAACAAAUUGUACAUUUUCAAUCUCUCUUUGUUCCUAGUUGAGGUUUUUUUUUUUUUUUUUUUUUUUUGUAAUUUUAUCUUAAUUGUACAAAUUCGAAGAUGAGAUUAAAUCUAUAAUGGUUAUUGGUUAAAUCACUUAUCUAACUUUGUUCUUGACAGAUCGUAUAAUAUGAUUGGAACCACCAUCCUAACUUUAUUAGGUGGGAUCCCUUUUUUUUUUUCCCCAAACCCUUGGAUUUUAGUUUUGACUUAUAUUUCAAUUGUCUGUAUCACUUUUUCUUUAUUUAUUAAUUUUCAACAAGUUCUUUAACAAAAGCCUUGAAUCAUAUUUAAAUUCAAAUAACUUAAUCCCCAUUAAGUUCUUUUUAAAUGAAACUUAAUCAUGUGAAAGUUCAUGUGACUAUUAUAAUUGAGAAUUUAUUCUUAGUUGGGUUUUUUGUAAAUAAAAUUUAGUUAUAGGACUGUGAUGAUCCGUUCUCAACCGUAUAAAUAUUGUUCGUUUUGAAUUCAAAAUAACUUUUACGGCUUUAAAACAUGUUUACAAGAUUAAGAGGAGUCCAUAUUUAUAUAGCUUCACGAACUUUCCCCCCUAUUCGAUGUGGGAUGUCACAAGGACAUCAUGAUGCAACGUAUAACAUAAGAUUGUUUCUUAAGUUUGUCUAACCUUGUAAUGUGUUAAAAUGAAGAUGAAGCCAUUAUAACAGAAGAGAAUGAUGAAGUUGUAGAGAGAGCUUAACAAAGCUUGGGUUGGAGAGACUUCAUAGGAAGAGAGAGAGAGAGAGAGAGAGAAAUAAAGGGUAAAAUUAUCAAAAAAGAAAAAAGAAAAAAAAGAGGGUGAUGUCUCCAAAUAAUCAAUAAGAGAUGUCAUUUUUCUAAUUUCAAAGUUCUUCUGGCCCUUCUCUACAAAUAUCCCUAUAAAAACAUUAUAAUAUCAAGUUAAUUUGUUGAUACCAAAAUUUAUAUAUUAUAUUAGGAUGACUAAAUAACAUAUAGAAAGAAUUUUAAAUGAGUAAAUCAAAUCAAUUUUGAAAUCAAAACUUAAUACCUACCAAACUUGUAAUCUUAGUCAUUUAAAGUGUUCCAUGAAAUCUAAAUUAUUAAGCAGUGAAACAAAAAAUAUAAGAUUAAAAUACAAAACGUUGAAAUCAAGAUUCAAACUAUUAAAACGUAAGUGGAGACGUAAGAUGAUGUCAUAAAAAAUAGUGGGAUCCAACAAAAAGUCUAUUAAUCAUUAUCUUCACUUCCAAUCAUGUUUAAAAGGUCACAAGUUCUAGCGGCUUUCAAGGACGAUGUUAAAAAUAAUAAAAAUAAAUCCAAUUAAAUAUUAAUUAAUUUAUUUGAACAAUAGAUAGGACCAAAAUAAUAUUCUAAAAGGAAUCAUAGGGAAGUCCUUGGACAACCUACGACAUUGAACAAAGGUACAGUGAGACAAUGCACUUAGCCCUUCCUUGUCAUUGCGAUGAAUAUAAAAAGACACCCUGAUUGAGGGUGCCCCACUAAGCCAAGAGUGAUUCUUUUGUAUUGUAUAACGUGAAUAUUUUUGAACUUUGAAUGACCCUUCCUAUAGUCAUCAUUGUCAAAACUAGAAAAUCAGAAAGAUGCGAUGUACGAAGGCACCAUUGAAUAAGAGGCUUAAUUCUCUUUGGCAAUUAGGAUAAAGUUUCAAAAUAGAAAAAUUAAACAAAUGUACAGUGUACGGACACUUGGGCAUUGCCUAUUUGUUUUGUUCUUCUAGAGUUGUAUAUGGUAAAGGUCAUAUUGGGUUGGUUCUAUUUGGUUAUUGAAGUCGGCUAGAAUAUUAGAUUUGGUUUCAAUCUAAUCCCAUAUGAUAUUAGAAUACCAGCCCAUACAGAAUUUUUGACCAAAUAUAAUAUUUCUUUUAAAUAUAAAUAUAGUAAUUAAUUUUAGUCUAAGAUUAAUUAUGUAGUUUCCUAAAGAGACCACUUCCUAAACGGUAGCUAUGUGGAAGUUGGGCCAGGUCCUGCCGAGAAGGUUUCCACGAGCUGAGCCCAAAACUGAGUAGCUGUGAUGGGAUCAUUCUAGCAUUCAGCCUGAAACUUGUAACAUAACGGAUCGAGAGGCCUGAACUCCAAGACCAUGGUUCGUCAGCCCAUUAACUUCAACAGCACGCAUUUUAGAGGACUGGGCUUGCAAGGGGUGAGGUUUCCGGGCCGCGACCCCAAAUAUGAACAGCCUCAGAAGUGAUAUUGCUUACUGGCACGUGAAGAGCGCAAGCGUAACUAGAAGAUUUGUAAUGCCGCUUUAAUUGUUUGAUUAUAGAAUCCCACGCAUUACGCAUGGAAAGUGUAAAAGAUAAAAGAUGUAGAAUUUUUUCUUAGAGAAAAGUUCGUUUGGAUAUAGUUAUUGUUUUUUUUUUAAAUAAUAAUUGUUUUUUUUAUAAAUUAUAGAUAAUCUUAGAAAUUUAUCUUUAAAAAAAUAGUUUUUAAAAAUAUUUAAGGAGAAUAAAAGUGAUAAAAAAAAACUUUACAAUUUCAAAUUUUUAAAAAAUGAAAAUUAUUUUUAAGAAUAUAAGUUAAUCUCCUGCAUUUAAAUCUUAGGUGGUUUUUGUUUUUUUUACUUUUCGCUGAAAACAAUUUGUUUUCAAAAUUUAGGUCAUUUGUUUUUUCUAUUUUUUCAUGAUUUAUUAUAAAUUUUUUACUAAAUAAAAAAAAUCAAAAUAUGUAACUUUUUCUAAAUAAAAAAAAUAACGUAUUGAUUUUUCUUUACUUUUUAAUACUUAAUAGAUAUAAAAUACUACAAAAACAAAAAAUCUAAUAUUUAACACUAUUAAGCAUUAAAGUUCUAUUUAGAAUUAAGUAAAAAAACAAACACCACCUUAUAUUUUAUAUAAAAGUUACUUAUAUUUUGGUUUUUGGAAAUAAAAAAUAUAAAGCAUAUCCAAACAUGAGCUUAGCUAUUUUAAAUCAUAUCAAAAUAAUAAUCCCAAUAAGGUAAAUGGACUUUUAUACGGAGAAUAAUCUUUAAGGUUUUCAUUUUUAUUGGAUUUUUUUUUUGUGGUGUUUUUUCAAUCCAUCUUCUCAAUUAAUUCCUUAAAAUUAUUUUACUGUUUUUUUUUUUUUCAGUUUCUAAAUAUUUGAUUUUUCCAAAAUGCUUAAAUGGAAGACACUAAUUUUUCAAGAUAUUUGGUAUUACAAUUUUCCCUGUUCUCCCUAUUAUCUAUCAGAUUCAUGGCCCUUUUGUUUUUUCAUUGGUUUUCAAUUUAAUUUUCCAAAUAUUACAUUGUUGUGUUUUGAAUUUGUGAAACCAAUUUUAUAUAUAUAUAUAGUAUGUAAGUCUACUUUGGGUAACAUGUACAGAGAGGUUUUCAUGUGUUUGAAACCUUUUACCUCAAAAAUUAAUUAUUUUUAAUUUUAUAAUAAAUCUUUUUUUAUUUUUUAUUUUAUUUAGGAAAGCCUAUAUUUAAACUACAUGUUUGCAACGCAACACCAUACAUACUCCUAGUGGAACUUACCUUAGUGCUUGAGGGGGAUGCAGAUCUUCUUCUAAACCUAACUAAUAAGCAUAAAAUUGUUCACUAAUUAGCAUAUCUAGUAAAUCAUACAAAUUGGCAAUAUUUCAUGUUUUUCAUGUUUUGUCAAUAAAAGGCGUCUUGACCAUUUUGUGAGUUUUGUAAUAAAUAAAAAAAAAAAAAAAAAAAGGGCAAAAGGUGACUAAAAUGAGGCACUUUGGAAAGGUUAAUAACCUAAAAGGAAGAUGAAUUAAUACCCCCUUAUUCCUCUUCAAAAACCAUUGAGAAAAUGCAAGAAAUGCUCUUAGUUGUAUGCUAGGCUAACAGCCUAGCAACCAUAAUACCCUUCUUUGCAAUUGUAAGCAUUUUUUUUUUUUUUUUGAAGGCCAAACAACGUUGCAAACUUCCCAAAUCCCUUCUUUAUUUUUUAUUUUUUUAUUUUUGUUUUUAGAAGGAGAAUGAAUUUGAUGACAAACUCCUUGUCAAUCUUAUCCAAACCACGAUCGAACAGAACUCCUUGUCAAUCUUAUCCAAACCGUGUUCCACCUCAAAAACAUGUGUAGGACUUAAGGCAGCAACUGGCAAGCAUGACUGAUAGGGCCAAGUGCCCUUGUCUCUACAAUCCAUUAAGUUAACCAAGGGCAGUGAACCAUCAUUCUUUUCAAAAGCUUCAUUCCGUGUUGAAAAUGUGAGACUGAAGCAUGGUGCCCCCAAAAAUAACGAUCUAUUUACUAGCAGCAUGCCUGGACCCAUUAAAAAUACUCUACUUUAGGAAUAGAAAAAAUUACAUCUUUAUCCAAUAAUUUUAUAACAAUUCAGACGUUUCAGUCUAUAAAUAAUUGUACAUAGUUGCCAACGUUUAGCUAGUUUCAAAUGAAUAGCCUAGGUUCAUGCACCAGUUUGGCUGGUGGAGGAAAGGGAUUCGAGACAUUGAACCCUCUUUUUAGUGUGCCAAAUAUUCCACAAAAAUCACUACCUUCUCUUUGUGUUUGUUCACUUUUAGUUUAUAUUUAAUAAAUCUAUGUUUUCGAGUAGAGGUUGGGUUCAGGUGCGACCCACGUCACCUCUCGGACGGUCUUGAAAAAGGAGACCGGACCACGUAAUUUCAAAUGUAGUGACCAUCUCACUUUUACCUCCAUCCUUGAAGAUGGUUUCCCAAAUCAAUAUUAAUCUUUUGUUUACGACAAUAUCGAUCACUUUAUGUCUAUAUCGUUGUUAAUUUACCUUUUUUUUUUAGCCACAUUAUUUGAAAAUUGAUGCAAACUUUACCAACAUCUUGGUACCAUUUUAAAAUAUUAGAGUUAUUUGAUUAAAAAAAUAAAAUAAUCUCGAUAACUUGUUUAUAAAAUAAAUAUCUUUUAACAUUUAGACUAUUCUCACGCAUGCUUUAAAAUUGUAAAGAUAUUCAUAAAGUGGAACUUUAGACUUAAUCAAUAUCGAUCACUUUAUGUCUCUAUUGUUGUUAUAUUUUUUUUUUACAACAUUAUUUGAAAAUUGAUGCAAACUUUACCAACAUCCUAAUACCAUUUUAAAAUAUUAGAGUUAUUUGAUUAAAAAAAUAAAAUAAUCCCGACAACUUGUUUAUAAAAUAAAUAUCUUUUAAUAUUUAGACUAUUUUCACCAUGCUUUAAAAUCAUAAAGAUAUUUAUAUUCAUAAAGUGGAACUUUAGACUUAAACAUGAUAAUAGUUUUUUUACAAUAUUAUAAUUAUUUUAUCGUUUUAAUUAAGCCCUUUAUCAUACAUAUAAAUGUAAAUUAAUGCUAAAUUUUUAAAGCAACGUAUAACCUUUUACAUCUUUUUUUAAGAUGGUGCGAAAAUCCUAUGAAAAAUAAUAAAAGUCGAUGCAUAAGAAGAUUGUUUUGAUAAUUCAAUAGAAAAAUUCUUUUAAAAUGAUAUUAAAAAAUACCCAUAGAGCCUUUAUUAAAAAAAUCAAUUAUUUUCAUAAUAAAAAUUAUAAUUUUUUAUUAUGUAUUAUUAUUUUUAAGUAUCUUUAUUACAAAUACUUUUUUUGAGUUUAUGAGAGGAAUCAACAGGUUGGUACAAGCUUAGGCGUCCUCGUACAUGUUCCCGCUGUGCAAGGUUUUUGUCUUGUUUCGAGCUAGUCGGAAUUUACGUGUUUGAUAACGUUUUGUCCUAUUUUUGUAACGCUUUAAAGGGCGGCCCACCGUUGGAACAGUUCAAGCCAUCCAAAUCAGCCCGGAGGGUUAUGGCGACGUGGCAUGACGCCUACCACCUUAGUUCACAUGAACCCUAUGAUCGUACUACCCUCACAUGACAUCUGUGAUUCUUCACCUCCAAACCCUCUUUAACUUGGUAAUGUAUUCAAAGCUUCAUCAAAUCAUAGCGAUUAGCGACCCUCUUCCACCCUAAUUUUAUAAUAAAAAAUAAAUCUUAGUGGACAUUAAAGUAGUAUUUUGUGGGGGGAAAGAAAAACUCUAUGGGCGUAUCCACUAAAUACGAGCCAAGUAUAAGAGUUAUCACCAUGGAAUCAAAUUAUGAAGCAUUGACAUUUUAAUUGUAUUCAGAUUUGAGGAGGGCACCGCGGCACCAGCUGGCCCAGUGUAGUCUGCUAGCCUACCCGCCAUAAUGACCAAAUUAAUAAAGUAAAAAGGAUUACAGGGAUAUUCCCAACUUUAUUCUGGGUCUGAGCUGGAACUUGGGAGUUAUCACGAUCAACGGGAAAGAUGGUGGGUAGGGGACGAGGAUUGAGGGCUCCAUAUUCACAUCAGUGAAAAACGAAAUGUAUUGAGACAAGUCUUCUAAGGAUUUUCUAGCGUAUUAUAUGGUUUAAAUGAUUAUAAAUCUGUAGUUACUGGUAAAGAGUAGAGAGUGAAGACGAAAGACGUUGAGUGAAAAGGAAGGAGGAGAGGGGAUGGGGCCAUCUUACCGUGUCGGGGAGGAUCCAUAAAAGGACUACGUUCCCUGAAUCUGUAGGCAUCAUGCCUCGCCUAACGGGUUAGUCAAAAUACAGUGAUGUGUGUGAGUUGGGGGCCUCACUCCUCAUUUCUUUCCUUCUUUUCACCCCCACCCCCACUUUUUUUUUUUUUUUUUCGAAUUUUUCUUUGUCCUUUUCUCUCACUUGCGCACGCGGGAGAAGGACCACAAACUAGACAAUUCCUCUGCUCACGUGACCCCGAGUUUUUAAAUAUUUGCCUAUUUGGAAAAUAGUCAUGAAUCAUGAUCGUUAACAAACAAUCUUCACUUUAUUUAUUUAAGAUCUAUUUUUUGGAGCUCUAGUUUAGUUUAUUAUUAUUAUUAUUAUUAUUAUUAUUAUUAUUAUUAUUAUUUAGUAACUCCUCUUAUAUUAAUGAAAAAGAGAGGAGGAAUCCAAACUUGUUUAUUCUUCCUCUUUUAAGGUGUUUGUUUUUUUUAUUUUAUUUUUAUGCUUCAUAUGUCUUCAAUUUCUUAGCAUUUGUCUUAUAUUUCUUCUUAUCCGAUUCAUUAUUGCAUCCUUGGUCAAUCUUUCACGAGGAGUGCCUACUUUUUUCCUUUUUAUUAUUUAAUUCACUUUAUCUUUAUAUUUUCCUUUUACACUUUAUUUCCAAUUCAAAACGUGUCAAAAAAAAAAAUUGGUAACAAAAAAAAAAAAAAAAAUCAAUUGUAAUGAUUCUUAUAUAAUUUUAUUUAAUUUUUAUUAAACAAUAAAGAAAUUAAAAAUAUAUAAAUUUUUAAAUAAUUAUUAUAGUCUUUCAUUUUUGUGUAUAAUUUCUUUUGCAAGAAAUAGUGUAGGCUUUCCACGGUCUAAAGGAAAUGGAAUAUCAAAUGAGAAGGUAAUAAUAAUAAAGUGAGUUAUAGAUACUAAUCAAACUAAUCCACUAAUGAAUUAUUUAUUUUUAUUUCACAUGGACAAAUCCUAAAAGUUGGAGUUCUAAUUUACUUUUAUGUUAAGCUUUUUUAAGUAAAAAUCUUUUAUUAUUAUAAUUUAUAGACAAAAAGAAACCCAUUAAUGUGAUGGAUAAAAAAUUUCAAUUUAAAAAAAAAAAAAUUAAAGUUGCUAAAUUUUUGUAUUUAUUAUUUCAAACUCAUUUAAAUAAUUUAAAAAUAUGUCUUCAAUUAAUUUUAAUGAAACAAAGCAUGAUUUUUUUUUAAUUUUUUUUUCUUUACCAAAUAAAGCAUUAUUAUAAUACGUUGAUUAAAUUUUCAUCAUGUCUCUCAAGAUUUGGAUUAAAUAUACUUAGUUGUCAUAAAUUUGAAAUUUUAUUUAAUGUAUUUUUUAUUUUAAAUUAAAAAGAUGAAUGCAAAUAAAAAAAAUAUGUAUAUUUUAUAAAAUUUUAAAUUAAACGAAGGAUACGUGUAUUUAACCAAGGUGAAUGAAAUUAAUCCAAAUACUUUUUGGUAACUUGCAAAAUAUCUUGACGAAAUCAUUAUGGCAGGCAUCGUACAAGCUCAACCCUUGUCGCCUUGCUAGAAAUAGAGAAACAAAAAGACCCCCAAAUUGGGUUGCAUCCUAAAUAUGAAGAAGUGGUAACAAAGGAAGAAAAAAUGCUGUGUUAUUGAAUAGUUAAUACAUUGAACAUGAUAUGUUACAUAGAGAGCCAGAUUAAUCCUAGUGGAAUUCCACUGUCACGAUGGUAACCUAGGGUUAUGUUUGGUUAUUGAAAAUACCAAGAAAAGAAAAAAAAAUAUAAAGGAAAAUAAUUUUUUCAUUUUUGAUUGUCUUAUAAAAGAUAUAAAAAAAAAACAAAUAUAAUUAAAACUAAUUAAAAAUUUAGGUAUUUUUAAAUUAUUUAAUUUUUAUAUUAAUGAGCGAAAAUAAAUAAAAUAAGUUUAAAAUAACAAAAAAAAUAAUUUACCGAUUUUUAAUCUAUAUUUUAUUUUACUUUUUCUUUGUAUUUUUUUUUUCUUAUAUUUUCCCUCAAAUUUUCUGAAUCAAACAUAGCAAAAAAGGAGCUACCCCUUUCGAAAGAAACUCCCAAGAAUUUCAAAGAAACCUGCUGAGAUAAUGAAUGAGGGAUCACUGUCGGUAAACAGUAUCCAUUCUUUUGGGAGGACUUUCAAACUGAGAAGUUGUUUUCAUGACUUGGAAACAAAAUUUUGAGCUCUAAGGGGGUCUGUAUUUGGGCCCUAAAAUUCAAUCCAUCAAUCUGAAAAAUGCUUAGGAUAAUGAUUUGAUUUAGCCACAAUCACUAAACAAAUUCCAGAGGAAAAUUUCGCUACUCAUAGGUGGCUGAUUCUCAUAAAAAGACAUCGUGGUAGGGUGUCUCAAGUGCAGGCUCACCAUCAACUUGCUGCCCUUUUUAGAUUAUUGUAAAAUGAUUUCACAUGAAGCCCAAUGCAAAACUUUGAAAGAAAAGGUUGGUGGAGACGUGAAGAAUAUGUAACCCAUAGGCCAUAACUAGUACCGAAGAUUAUUGAACAAACAUUCAAGGUUUUUGUAUAGACGAAACUGAAAAGAAUGUGUACCAGACUCAGGCGUUCAGAUCAGAUGAUGCCGUAAUGUGGAUUGUGGAGGAGCAUUGUGCAGACAGAUAAUGAGAUUCUGAAAGCGAGGCCACUGAUGGGCCCUUGGAAGGGGGGCGUGCCUUCAAAAUUAUAUAUAUAUAUAUAUAUAUGUCAUUGAAAAUUGGAAGCAACUUUUCUUCUUAAGUUAUUUUAAUCGAAGAAGAAACAAAAAGUUAAAAACAUACAUUAUUCUUCCUUCUUACGAGGUUUCCGGGUCUAAAUUACUAUGGUCUCUGCAACUGGCGUCGUUUUCUCUCCCCUCUCUCUAUUUUCCCUUUAUUUUUUCACUUUUAGAAAGAAGCAUCCCAUCAAGAAUCUACUACAACCCUACGCUUCCAUUUUGAUUUAGAAAGUUAAAAAUAAGUUUAAGUUAAAAAAAAAUAUUUUCUUAUAUAAUUAUUUAAACUUAUUUCUUUUCCUUUUUAUAUAAAGAAACAAAUAUUUUGCAAAUAAAUAAAUUUCUAAUUAUUUUCAUUAACAUAAUAAUAAUAUUUUUCAUAUGACUUUAAUCACAAUUUUUUUUACCACUUGUCCAAGGCGGUGAGAGGUGAUAAAAUGUAUUAAAAAAACGAUUAAAUUGCAUUAGGUAUAGAAGUUUUGUGCUUCAAUUAUCACUUAUAAAAAUAAAAUAAAAAUAGUCAAAUUUGAGUGUGCAAGUUGGUAUUCGUAUGUAGAAGGAAUUGGGGGAUUUGGGGGUCCUAACAAAUUUGAUAUGAUUGAUGGAAGGAAAUGAUUAUUAUAGGAUAAAGUCCGAAUGAAACGCUGACGAGGGGGGAAAAACAACAGUGGCAAUGCACUAUCCACAGAUCCAUGAUUGAUUUAUGUUAGCAAUAAUGAAUUAUUUUGACUUUGAUAACCUUGGUUAAGAGAAUUUGGUCUUGUUAUUAUCAUUUUUUCAAAAAAAAAAAGUGUAGGUAACUAGGUAGUUGAUUUAUUAGAAUUUAGAAAUGAGGAUCCCCUCCUCCUGCAAGAGCCGUGACAGACAUGCCUGCUUUCUUGCCAGAUUAUACCAAUGUGCCCAAAUAAUCCCCCAUCUAUCAUCUCUGCACCCUGGAACACGUCACUCCCUCCUUUGAGCAAUAAAAUAUCUCUUUUAUUUUCUUUUGAACCACUCUUCUAUUUCUUUGUACCAGACUGGACCCAUUUAAAUUCUUCGCUACGCUGUUCCCAAGGACUACGAGAAUCAAAAUAGCAAAAUUCUUGAAUCAUUUUAAUGGGUUCAGAAACCACAUGUUUCUCUAGAUCAUAAGAGGAAAAUCUUUUUGGAUGGUGUUUGUGUUGUGUUGUGUUCAAUAUUAAAUACUCAAUUAAAUAAGCUAAAUCAAAUAUCACAUGAAAAAUAAUCAAAUUAAAAAUAGGGAGAAUUAUGUUUUGAGGGUAGAUGGACCCCAAAUUAACAAAAGGUUCAUGUAACUCUUCAAAUUGAGCCCAGACCCAAUGAAAAUAUGGAAAUUGAGUUGAAGUAUAUCAUCAUUCAGUAUUUCCAAAAAUGUCCUUUGUUGAUUUUGAGAAAAAAAUUAAUAUUUUUGAAAAAUAUUUUUAUGUAAUUUAAUAUUUUUUUAAAUACUUUUAUUUAAUUUAAUAUUUUUAAAAAAUAAAUUUAUUUAAUUUAAUAUUUUAAAAAAUAUUUAAUUUAAUAUAUUUUUUAAAUACUUUAAUUUAAUUUAAUAUUUUUGAAAAAAAUUUUAAUUUAAUAUUUUUGAAAAAAAAAUUAUUUAAUUUAAUAUUUUUUAAAACUAUUUUUAUUUAAUUUAGUAUUUUUGAAAAAAAAUUAUUUAACUUAAUUUUAUAAAAUAUUUUAUAUGUGUUCUUAAAGGGUAUAUUUGUCCGUUACUAUUUCAUAUCCUUCAACUCAAUUUAAAGAGUUAUAUGGACCUUUUGUUAAUUUGGGGACCCAUCUACCCUCAAAAGAUAAUUCUCCCUUAAAAAUAUAAAUUUAAAUAUGACAUAAUUAUUAAAUAUGUUAGAUCUUGUAUGAGUUUAUAAGAUUUAUGUUUCAAAAUAACAUGUUUAUAAUUCAUCUAUUGAUUUAUAAUCAAAUUUUAAAUAAAUUAAAGUUAUUCAAGUUAAUAAAUAUGAUUUAUGUUAUAAAGACUAACUAAAAAAUAAUUUAUUAAUUAAACGGAUCCUGGUCAAUAAAAAUUUGAUUUAAAUACGAUCAUACUUAAUCAAAACUUAGGUCAAAUUGUAUUGAUAAAUUACAUCAAAACCUUGUUGUGUUCAAUAUUUUAUAUUAAACUAUUUUUUAAUAAAAUUAUUUUUAUAAAUAUAAUAUUACAUCAUUUGGAGAAACAAAAUAGUAUUAUAUUGAUUUUACAUAUAAAGCAACCAGUUAACCCCUCAUUAUUUUGAUCCAUUUCACAUCCAUAUCAUUCUCAUAAUUUUUUUAUAAUAUAUUAACAUGAUGGACGGUAAUUGAGGGUAGAAAAAAAAGAUGAGAAGAAUAAAAUAAUGUGAAUCCUCUCUAAAUGUUACAUCUUCUGACAAAUGAAGUCUAUAGAAAUGUGUAAAAAAAAAAAAAACACUUAAUUGUGAGGUUCACUUGAUUUAGCAAAAAAUUAAUAUUUUAUUUGUUGUGUGAUUUAAAAAUAAUAUUUUAUUUUUAAAAAUAAAAAAUUAUUUUUAAAGUUUUUUAACACUAUUUUACUAUUGUUCUUUGAAAUAAUUUUUAAAAUUAAAAUGAAAUAACUAAUAAUUUUUAGAUAAUAAAUUAAAGUUGUUUUUAUUAGAUUUUAAAAAUAAAAGAAAAAUAUAAAACCAUUUGAUCAAAUUUUUUUAAACUUAUUUUUAAAAGGUUUUUUUUUUUUUUUUUUUUUUUCUAUCCUAAGUUAAAAGAUAAAAAAUAAUUUUUAAAGAUAGGUUACGAGCAAAUGCCACAAACUUUUUUCUUCUCUUUCCCUUGUUCGGAUAGAAGUGAAAAAUAUCCUCCCAUGGAUCGACAUUACGUGAGCCAUCACCAUUCCCCAACUGCAAUUCAACCGCCAAAGCUGAGGUGUCAUUAUUAGUUUGAACAAAAGUCAGCAUUGUCCACGUGGUGACAAGCGGAACUGACCCAACUUGCAAGGCAAAAAAAUAAAUAAAAUAAAAUGAAAAAAUCAGAUCACCAUUAUGACGUCAGUCCAAUUGCUGACCUGGCCGCCGUCCCCCAUUUGACCCACGUGUUCAUUUAACCCAUUCGCCGUAUGCCGUGGCUCCCCACCCAUAUGGCCAUAUCUGCCAUUUAUUUUAUCCGUUGCCUCCAUUCGGUUUUUGGAUUUUACCCAUUCGCCCUCGUCUAUUCCCAUUUCCGUAUUUGCCCACCAAGGAAAUUCAAUUCCCAUGCUUUUGUUUUACAUUCAAAUCCUCCCCCCUCUAUAUAAAGGAGGGAGUAGGGCUUGAAAGUUUCUCAAGCCAACAUGGACUGUUGAGAGUGAAAGACAGAGGAGCCACAAACAAAUAUCACUCACUCAAACCAAAGCCAAAACCAAUACCGAAUUCAAUUCAAAUGACUUCUUUCUCUCUCAUCAAUUCCCUGAAUUCCGAUUCCGAUUUCAAUUUGUUAUCGGAUUCUUUUUCCUGGGAAAACUCCCUACCUUUCAAUGAAAACGACUCCCAGGAGAUGCUCCUCCUGGGCAUGCUGGCCAGCUCCACUCAGGAAACCUCAGAAACAGUUUCUUUGAAUCGAGUGAAGGAGGAAGAAGUGACUUCCCAGGAAAAUCCCGAGAAGGAGAAGUCAUACAGAGGCGUUAGGAGGCGGCCAUGGGGGAAAUUCGCAGCAGAAAUAAGGGACUCGACCAGGCAUGGCAUAAGGGUGUGGCUGGGAACAUUUGACAGUGCAGAGGCAGCUGCUCUGGCCUAUGAUCAAGCUGCUUUUGCGAUGCGGGGCCCUGCGGCAGUCCUCAAUUUCCCGGUGGAAAGAGUGAAGGAAUCGAUGCAGGAGAUCAAGUGCAUCUUGGAGGAGGGGGGCUCACCAGUGGUGGCCCUCAAGAAGAGGCACUCUAUGCGGAGAAAAAGUCCUUGCAAGAAACAUAAAAGUGAAGAGGUGAGGUUAGAAAAUGUGGUAGUGCUGGAGGAUUUGGGUACUGAAUACUUGGAACAGCUCCUCACUUUCUCUGAGACCUCUAGUCCUUGAUCAUCAUCAUCCAUCACCUGGAUAGCUUCUUCUCUUUGCUCUGUUUCUUACUUUUCUCUCUCUCUCUCUCUCUCUCUCUCUUUUUUUUUUAUGUAAUUUUUCUUAAUGUAUUUUUGGAGAUGGCGGGGGUGUAGUGGUGGCAAUUAUCCAUCUAGAAUUUUUCAAAAGAUAUGUUCUUUUGUUUCUUUGUAUAAAGUUGAAAAGUGGGGAUCAAUUGUGAUGGUGCUCUAUGUUCAUCCACCCAAUUUAUAUAAUCAAGGUGAUUAAUGUUUUUUGAUAUCAACAAUUUGUGAAUGACAUAGAGAGAGAGAGAGAGAGAGACCUUAUUUUCUACACUCAUUACGGUGGUUUCCAUUUGGGGAAGGAAAAGGAAAUGGCUAAGAAUGUUACCAAAAGAAGUGGGGUGGCUUUCAUAUGCGUGGUGGCAUACUUGCAUACAAACUUUUCAAUUGUGUUCUGCAUGCCACUCGGGUCAAUUUCAUUUCUUUUACUCCUAGUAGCCUAAUUGGAUUUCCUUUUUCUCAUGAGACAUCAAAUAAAUUUCAUUUUUUUAUAUUUAAAUAGUUAGGUAAGUUUGAUAGUGAGUUAUAUUUUAUACAUUAAUUCAUCUUUUAGAAUGUUGUCUACAAUAUAAACAGUGUAAUUAAUUUCAUCAUUACAGAACAGUCAUCUUAUAAAAUAACAUAAAAAUUAUUGGAUCACUUGUAUGGCACCACUGAUUUGGACUUGGUAUGGCUCUGUUUGGCUUCAUAGAAAAAAUUUGGACCCAAUUUGAAUGUCUUGCAUAAAAAGAGAUACGUCCCACUUUGAAUGAUAUUGAAGAAAAAAAUUUCUGAUGAAGAAUAUAUUGUUGGCAGGGUCAUGCAGGCCAAUAGGGAAACGAUAAAUUCAGAAGAAUGAGUCCAAACCAGUGGGCUUGAAAAUUAAGAAGAGAAUUGCUGUAUAAAACAAUCAUUUCUUAAUCGAGUUCACUUUCUGAAUAAUCGUCACUUUGAGAAUGCAUACUUAGGAAGAUGAUGAUCCUUAAUGGGAAUAAUCAAAGGCAUCAAAAAAUUGUUCUGGAACAAUUCUUGAUUGUCUCCAGUAAAAUUCAAAGUCAAAAGUCAAAAGUCCAGUCGGUCAACACCAAACCAGGCCAGUCCAAAAGACAUUAAUUUGCAAUCUAGAAUCUAUGAUGAGGUGGCGAAAUCAAACCUUGGCUUUUCACCAGGGAAUGGUACUCUGAAUUUGGUCAGUUCACUGUUUCGAGUGAAUAGGGUGUAGUAAUUAGUAAAUCAUAUUUUAGAUUUGUGUCACAAGUUACAAGGGAUAUGGGCUGACGUUCAAUUUUGGCGACAAUUUGUGGGCCCGUAUAUUUGUUGAGAUGUGGAAAUUGGGUGUGUGCUUUUUUCUGCUACCACAUAAAUAUAUUUCUUUGAAUUGAAGAGUGUUUCAGACCAUUUUUUUUCAAGUCACAAAUGGACAACUGAUUGAGAUUGUAUUGGUGAGAGUAGGAGUUUAUUUUGGGCUGGUUGAGCGAAGUUGAAAGUCGAGUUGGACCUAACCCUUGAAUUCAGCAGACUACAGUCCGAUCCUGUAUUUUGGAUUUAGGGAACCUUCUUUCCCAGAAGCUUCGUCUGGGUUUUAAAGUCUAAAUGUGGCUACUCUUAAACAUUGGAGAAAGGAUGAGCGUUCACAAGCAAAUGGGUAAUUGUGGAUGGUUCAAGGACCUGGCCAGCUGGUCUUCAAGUUUGGAUGCCGGUUUGGGCCUGAGAGAGUCUUUGCAAAGUGACUUCACUUCAGCCUAUGAGAUCAAGAUAUCAUGGUGAUGUCCGAUCACUUAGGUUUCAUUUUCACCUCGGAUUACCGUUACCAUGUUCAUGAAUAAAAAUAAAUAAAUAAAUGAAGCCUUAUAGAGAAAUUAAUGAAGUGAGCUAUACAAGCAACUGGGCCAGGAGCCUACAAGGCAGAAAUUCCCUGCCCUAGACUAGGCCGAAUAAAUUAGAUGAAUGAAUUGGGGAAACCUGGGCCAGCCACACAUCCUCCUGAAGGCUGAUGUCGAACUCGCUUACGAGGAAUGGACAUGGGAGAUUGGGCUGGGACCAAAUAACCAAUUGACAGCCCUAUCCUUGUGGCAAGACGUCAGUAAAAUGGUUCAUUCUGAUUUUACGCUGCCAUUCAAUUUAAUUUUAAUUUUUGUUUAAAGCGAUGUACAAAUUGAAUGGUGUCUAGUCACUUAAAGAGUGGUUCAUAAUACACUUAAUUUAAACAAAAAAGAAAUUAUUAGAUAGGGGAUUCUCCAAUAAAAACCACCCCAUCUUGUCAGCAAGUCCGGAAACUUCCUUCACUUAGGGCGUAUUUGUUUUUUUAACUUUAAUAUUAAAGAAAGUUGGUUAAACCUUAUGACACUUUUAUAUUAUUUUAUGAAUUUUUUUUAAUUUUUAUUUUAAUGGAAUUUUAACUUUAAUACAAGUUGGAGUAAUUCUUAUCUUAAAAACAAAUCAAAAUUACUUUAAUUUUAUAUAGAAAUAAACUUACAGUAAAUUUACCAUGAAAAUUUCUAAGUCAAAUACACCAUAAGUGCUAGUAUUUUAUAAUAUUUAGAAACAUGUUAAAUUAUUAUUAUUAUUUUUUAAAAUUAUUAGUUUUCAUAUUAGUUUUAGGGAAACUUGUGCUUUAGGUCUUUUAUUUGCAAAUAAUAUGGUUUUCAAAUCCUAAGAAUAGAAAAUAUGAGAAUCAACUGUUAAUGUGGAAAAUAAUAUCAAUUUUGUGCAAUCUCUAUUGACUCAUUUUUUUGUGCCUAGAUUGCCUUCACCCACUUCCAUGUCAACAACCACAUUAAUAGAUUGUUUUUUUUUUAUAAAACAAAUAAUUAUUAUGUUUAAAAUUUUGGGGAAACUCUCUAUCUCUCUUACUUCUUCACUACAUCCGAGACCCAUCUUCCUUAAACGUUUGCCUCUCAUUUUGCCCUAACCCCAAAUCUCAUAAAUUUCUCAUUUUCUUGCCUCAUUUGAAAUAUGAAGAUGACCGAUUCUCAAACAUCUCUGUCUCUCUCUUCACGUUUUGACCAGUCUAAUUGGAAACCCAUUUUCCAAAAACCUUCUUUCUUUCAUUUUGCCCUAACCCCACUAUCUCCCUCUUCAAGACCUAAUCACCCAAACUCGAUAUCUAUCUUCCCAAAACCUUCAAGCAAACUGAACUAGACCCAUAUCUUCUUUUUUCAUCAUCAAAGGUGAAAUUUUUUUAAGGCUUUUGGAAACCGAAUUGGAGCUUUCCCUUCUUCUGGGAUUAAUCAUUCGCAAGUGAGUUUUCCAUUUAAGGCUUUGUUUGGCUGUUGAAAUCUUGGGAUCAAAGGUCUUUUAUUUUCAGGUUUCUUGUAUUUUGCUUUAUUUUCUUGUAUAUAACAAUAAUCAUUGUAACAUAUGCUAGUAGUUACCCUUGGUGCAACUUUACAUUUCCAAAUACCCUAAAGUCCAAAGCUUUUAAUUCCCUUUUCAAAGCUUUCAACUUUGAAAGCAGACUAAACCAUAAGAACUAUGAAACUUAUAUCUCUAUCACCACUAAUUAAGCAUGUCUAUGAAUCCUUCCACUUUAAGUCACUUAUUCUCAAACCAAGAAGGGCUCCUCUCAUUCUCACCCCACCUCAUCUAAAUGAGGGAAAUGAUCAAUUGCAGCCAUGCUUUGCACCAAAUUAGAGAAGUGAUCCUCCCAAUCAUCCAUUACCAAAAAUUGAUCAUGCUGAUGAGAUCAUAAGAGUCUAUUCGGAACUCCCAGUUUACUUGCCUCUUAUCUCAGGAUCCUCCAUUACCCCCUGUCUUUCCAACAUCAAAUCAACUUGCAAACAAUUCCUUUGUAGAUAAAAUGUUUUUAAUAUUGCAAAAGGGGACUUAUCAUAAUGGUUGAAUCGAUUUAUUUGAUAUAAUCACUCAAAUUCAAGCUUAAAAUUGAUCAUAAUAAAAUGUUUUUAAUAUUGUUAAAAGGAGAUUAUAAUGGUUUUAUUUGAUAUCAUUACUAAAAUUCAAGCUUUCAAACAUGCUCUACAAAGAAGUUCUAAAAGACUACAAGAAAGAGUUUCCACUAAAGAAAAACAAUGAAACCAUUUCUACUAAAGACAAACAAUGAAACCACAGAUGCUUUGUGAAAUAUGUACCCGCACAAUCCAACAAACUUUAGAAAUUCACAAACACUACCUAGAAUUUUUGCUGACCAGCAAAAAAUUUAUGCAAUUUAAUUCUUAUUGUUAUUAUUAUUUUCAAUGUGAACAAAUAUGAUUGAAUUAUGAAGUAUUUGGCCAGAAGAGGAUCUUGCCUAAUUAUAGUCAUUAAACAACCAUUUAUACCAUAGCCUCUAGACUUUAAAAAGUUUAUAAAACUCAAGGGCUUCCACCCAAUUUCUAGAUAUCUCCAUAACAUUCUUCUGACUAUUAGAAAGCAAUUACCACUUUAAUUUUUCAUUUCAUGAGUGUUCAAUUCAGAAAAAGACCAGGAUCGAACUUGCGAUCAUGCAGUCGAAAAUCCACCUGUGCAUGAAACUAUUGCCUCACGAUUGCAAACUCAAGUUGGAGUCCAGUAACAACUCUAGGUUUGCUGAUGUGCUCCAUUUGAAAUAAAGGAACUAAAGAAUACUUUAUAAAGAUUAAUUACCUUCAUAUUUUAGGUUGGGGUUAAGGCAAAAUGUGAUAGAUUGAGAGGAAGAAAAUAUAUCUUGUUCAGGAAGCCAAUAUUUUGGAGUUCACCUUUCCAUUCGAGUCCACUCUGCUAUAGCAAAAUCAGAGUCACAACUAUGCCUCUUUAAGCUAUCCUUUAAUUGGAUGAAUUGCAGAUUUGGUUGCUGAGAAAGUGGAUAAGAAAGAAAAAUGCAUACUGUAGCUUGAGAUUAAGAGUUUGUUUUCUAAAAUGAGAGAAAGGGAAAGAGAAAAAAUGCAUAUUGUAGCUUGAGAUUAAGGGUUUGUUUUCUAAAAUGAGAGAAAGGGGAAGAGAAAUGUUCGACAACUUUGAGAUGACAAAUUUUUAGAUUUGGAAAAUUUGAGAUGAGUCUCAGGUUUUUUUUUUUUUUUUUUUGUCUUUGUCUUUGUUUUUUUUUUUUUUUUUUGUUUUUUUCCCAAAAACAACCUGUUAAUGUGGUUGUUGACAUAGAAGUGGGUGAGGGCAAAAUGGGCAUAGAAAAAAGAGUCAACACAAAGUGCACAAAACCCAUAUUAUUUUCCACAUUAAUGACUGAUUCUCAUAUUUCUUGUUCUUGGGAUUUGAAAACCAUAUUAUUUGCAAAUGGACCUCCCAAAGCACAGGUUUCCCUUAGUUUUAUGUCUCCAUCUACAUUUUACAUAUAAAUAGAUUAUUUUAUAAAAUUUGUUUUGUAGAUAUAUUAGUUAAUAAUUAUAUAAUUAAUGAUAUAGAAAACAUAUAAAAAUCAUAUUUAAAAAAGAUAAUUACAUAUUCCUCAACAAUCCAUCCCAAGAAUUCGAGGUUGAGUUGAAAACAUGUAGAGUCUUUGAUGUUAUUAUAAUCAUAUCCAACACAUAUGAUUAUUGUUUAUGAGAUAUUAUUAGAAAGUUUGUCUUAAAAUAAUUGAUUUAUUACCCACCUUUAGCAAAUGCCCAUUUUUGCGUCUUUCAAAAUUUUCAUUUUUUUUUUGUUUAAAAGAAGUAUUGUAAAGAAUGAUGAAAUAAGAAAUUUGUUGAGAAAGUGUGAGUAAAUAAUUUUACAUAAAAAGAGAUUUAAUACUUGAUAAAUAAAAUAAUAAAAUCAUGAUUUCUAGUUGUAUAGGGCCGGGUGGAUGGAGUGGCUAAGAUGUAAUUCUUGAAAUAGAGGAGACAACAUCAAUGUAUAAAAGUUUAACAGAGAAGGAAAGUGUGUUUGAAUGACUUUAUUUUCUUCAUUUAAAGUUUUGACGAUGAGUGUUUAUACAAGAUAAAUUUUCAAAUGAUAGGACUCCUAUUUACAUGGAGUUUGUGAUAUACUAUGAUUAUACAAAUUUAAAAUUCAAACAGAUUCAUGAGUUGAUAGGAGUCUGCUCAAUACGCCCCUUCAAAAUGGUGGGAGAUAGCACACCAAUCUUGACUCGAAGGGCCUAAACUCGUGCAGAAGAUGAGGGCUUUGUUAGAGCAUCGACAAGUUGAUCCGUGGUUGACAUAUGGGACACCUUGAGCUCACCUGAUUAAACCUUGUUUCAAACAAAAUGAAAAUCAAUCGCCGAUGUGUUUCAUGGAGAGUGAAACAUGGGAUUUGCACAAAGAUAUGUUGCACCCACGUUAUCACAAGAGAUAGGAGGUGGUGAUAAAUUUGAAACACUAAGUUUUGAGAGAAGAGAAUUAACCCAAAGAACCUUUGAGGCUGUAGAGGCCACGACGUGAUAUUUCGCUUCAGUGGAAGAGCGUGCUAUGAACUUUUGUUUCCUCGAUGACCAAUACACAAGAUUGUGACCAAGAAAAACAAUGGGAGCAUUGGUGGAGGAUCUGACAUAAGGAUUCCUUGCCCAUUCAACAUUCGAAUAUGCAUGUAGAUUGAUGGGCGAUUUCUUAUGCAAGAACAGACCAUGCACCAUUGUGCCGACUAAGUAUCUAAGCAAUCUUUUAACACAAGACCAAUGUGUUGAUGUUGGAUGGUGCAUAAAUUGAGAUAAUUUAUUCAUCAAGAAGGUGAUGUCAGGGCUAGUAAGAGAGAAGUAUUGAAGGCUUCCAACAAUUGACAUAUAUUUAGUGGGACCAGGAAAAGAGGUGUCAUCACACAGAUUUGGAACAUUGUUGAGGAACAUCAAUGAUUGAACUGGUUUGGUAGCCACCAUUUGUGUUUUCUUAAGAAGCUCUCGAAUGUACUUGAGAUAAAAAUAAUCCUUUGGAAGUAUGUAUCAUUUCAACACCAAGAAUAAAAGAUGAAGUCCUGAGAUCCUUAAUGGAGAAUUUGACUGCUAAUUGAGAGAUCACGCGAGCACGAAAAACAUUAUUGUUACUUGUUAAAAUAAGAUCAUCAAUAUAAAUAAGUAGGUAAACAAUGAGACCACUCUUUUUAAAAAUGAAGAGGGAUGUCUCGGUUUAGGAGUUGACGAAGGCUAUUGAGAGGAGAAAUUGGCAAAGUUCAUGAUACCAUGAUCGUGGAGCUUGUUUAAAGCCAUAAAAAGCCUUACAAAGUUGGCAAAUGUGAUGAUGUGUGUAUUCGUGAACCCAGGAGGUUGAAUCAUGUAAACAUCUUCAUGAAGUGUCCUAUGCUAGAAUGCAUUAUUAAUGUCCAAUUCAUGAGUUGAUAGGAGUCUGCUCAAUACAAUGUGGGAGUGUGAUUUCAAAAUUAGGGUAAUUUCGAAAUGGAUUUUGUAUUCACAAGUUGAAUUUCAAAAUUAUUUUGAAAUGGUCUUUUAACUUUAAGCAGUUGUGUUCAAAAGGUCAUAACUUCUUCGUUUCAAUUUUGAUUUACACAUUGUUUAAAACAUUGGACUCUUUACUUCCCGAGCUUCAAAACGAUAUAUAGUAUGCUCAAAAAUGACAUCAGGAUUGGUUCAAAUUUCAUCUUGAUAUUAGAGUACAUGUUGUGAUUAGAUUUUGAGUUCCAAAUUUCCAUGUAAACUUGAUUGCAUUUGCUUCAAACCUCCUUCAUUAUGGUUGCUUGCCCUCUAUCUCACUUUGCAACAUUUGUUACUAGUAUUUUAUGUCCAUGACUUACUCAUUUCAACCUUUCUUGGAUUCUUCAUGGUUCACAAAUUAUGGAUUCUUCAUGGUUCACAAAUUGAGUCUUUCAAUUAUGCAUGUUUAACUCCUAUUUCCUUGGUUGAUAAUGACUUUUACACUUAUCAUUUUCUUUUAUUCUUUAAACCUGAAUUUAGACUUACAAAAAAAAGUUAGAUCCAUAACUAGGGUCUUAGCAUCAAUUUGAGUUAAGUUGGAUGAUUUGAAAAUUUUAUAUUACAUAAAUCAUAUCAUACAUGUGCCAUUGGAGUGCACAUUUUGGCUCUAAUCAUGUUCCAACCCAUUGUUUUACUCUUGCAUGAAGUAUGUGGCCAUUGAUUUUAAUUUUAUUUGCGAUUAGGUUCAAAAUGGUGCUUUUGUGUUGCUCAUGUGUCAUCAGAAGAUCAACUAAUGGAUUCUCUAACAAAACUACUACAUCAUAGUCAUUUUUUUUUUUCUUAAGACCAAGAUUGAGAUCUCCAAUCGGAGCCAACUCCAUCUUGGGGGCAUGUUAGUGAAAGAUAAAAUUUAUCUUUAAUUUAAAUAUUAAUAUUUAUCAGUUAUUAGUUUUAAUUAGAGUAAAAGAUAGAGUUUAAAUUGGAGUAGGAGAUAAACUUGUGUUUGAACUAGAAUAGAAGAUAAAGUAUAAAGAUUUAUGUUUGAAUUAGAAUAAAAUAUAAAGUUUGAAUUAGAGUAGAAGAUAAACUUGUUCUUUAUUUGUAUAUAAAUAUUCAUCAAUUCUUGAGAAGAAGAUUAUUUCAUAGUUUUUCUAUCUUCUUUUUUCUUCAUACAUAUCUGCAAGAAAUUGAAGAUUUCAAGUAAAAUAUUUUCUGUUUUAAAUAGUGAAAAAAGCUAGAAAUUCACUUUGUUAUCUCUUGGGGUAAAUUGACAAGGUUUAACGUUAAGAAGGUGAAUUAUUUUUUCAGAAAAACUGAAGUAGCUAGGAUAUCUGGCCAGUUGUGAUCGAUAAAAAAGUUGUAAAAUCUCUCAUAUACUAAACAGGUUUUGGAUGUUGGUAUGGUAAAUCCAUCUGCAGUCAUUCGUCAUCUCAUCUAGUGAGAUGUUUGGGAGGUGGUGACCGCCGGAUUGGGUUUCAUUUGGUUAAAUCUGUCAGUGGGUUGGCUACUACCCGAGCCUCUUGCUUUGGGGGAGGUGGGUUCUAGAUAUAAUGUUCAAACCAUUUUAGUUAUCAUAUGCAUGACAUGUAAGCAUAAUCUCUUUAUCACUUCUUCAAUGGGAGUUCAUGGUUAGGAAUUGACUUCUUUUCUUCUGGGAUGCUUGGCAUGUAAUGGACAAAGUUACUUUUAUAUCGAUCGAAUUUCUAGUAUUAUAGUGAAGACUUACCCUUUUGACAUUUUAUAUCGAAUUAUAGAAGAUGAAAGGGACAUACAUGCAAUCGACUGACGCUUUAGUGAAUAUGCUGAAAAUAUGCUGAUGCUGUGGAGAUCGUAUGAGGACAGAGGAAAAAGAUAGAAAUGGAUAUAUAAUUAGACCUAGGUUUUUAUUAAAUGAGAUGGGGAACAUAGAGUGAGGGAAAAUCAAAAUUUUUGGCUGCAGUUCACAUUGGUGAUAUUUUGGAUUGACAAAGACUAACGACUUUUCUAUUUUUCUUUUCGGCCUGACUGGAUAGUUGGACAUGGACAAUACAGAAUCCACAGAAGGAUUGUUGGGACCGCUGAAAAUUAGCUAGAAGAAGCUGAGGAAGUAGUCUACGUAGUCAAAUACCAAACACAAAGAAAGAAAGAAAUGGAUAUCAUGGAUGCCUAGAGUUAUACUCCUAAUACCGUCACAGGUAUUUUUCUUUCCUCCUUUUUUUUUCUACGAUAAUUAGAGCAUUUCUCCUCCUCCUCCUCCUCCUCCCCCCACCCCACCACCAAAAAAUAAAAAAAUAAAUUAUUGCAAGUAACACUUCAAAUAUUAAUUUAUACAUUCUAAAGUAUAUAUUCAUGAAAUAACUUGAGUAUCAUACAUUAGUUCUCAAAAAAAAAAAAAAAAAAAAAAAAAAAUUACUGGAAGAGAAAAGUUUAAGAAAACAUAAAAAUAUUCAACUACUAUUUUAAAGAGAAAAUUUAAUUUUUACACUAUAAAUUUGAAGAGAACUUUUACAUGCAUCUUAUAUAAACUACCAUUUUUUGCUAAAAGGCUUAAAUUUGUCAAAAAUACCCCUUAGGUGCUUAACGUUCUGGUCAUAAUAUAAUUGGCAUCUUUUCUCAAACAUAAGGCCUGUGUGUGGGAACAAGAUUUAAUGUUAAUGAGCUUCGCCACCGACAUUUAGUUCCAGAAAUCAUUAUUUUAAUAGAGUGGGCUCAAUUUACAACUUUAAUUAAACUCUAACCAACUGCAUUGUGAAAUGAAUAUGUUUCUUUCGUGGUGAAUCCAAUGAGUUGGGAGUCAAACUUUGCUUCAUUGUGUAUAGAUGAAAUGUUAAGACUCCAUGUAACCUCAAACAUUUCCGCAAUNNNNNNNNNNNNNNNNNNNNNNNNNNNNNNNNNNNNNNNNNNNNNNNNNNNNNNNNNNNNNNNNNNNNNNNNNNNNNNNNNNNNNNNNNNNNNNNNNNNNUUCUUUCGUGGUGAAUCCAAUGAGUUGGAGUCAAACUUGCUUCAUUGUGUAUAGAUGAAAUGUUAAGACUCCAUGUAACUCAAACAUUUCCGCAAUGAGCGGGAGUUCUAAAUUUAAUAAUUGAAAUUGUCAGUGGAACCAGUGGACAAGAGUUGGUUUGUGGUUGACAAACUUAUCCGUUUGAUCUUUACUUGAACAGUUCCAGUGUGUGGAUGGGUACUGAUGAAGUGUGCGCAUUUAUUUUGAGAAGCCUGCUUGUUCGCAUAGAUUUUAACGACAUGAACAUUGUGGUAAGGUUAGAGAGUAAUGCGAAUGUAGGAGCUUAUAUUAGAAAUGACACAAACACGUAAAUAGAAGUAAUCUAUAUAUGAUAUUACUCAUGGACUACAAGCAAAGAAGUACAAUACAUGGAGUAAGUGAUGAAAUGAGCAUUCCUCACUACUACUGCUUGACUGAUGGAACAUGAUGCACGAGAUAGCAUAAGUAGUAGUAGGAAGCAGCUCUUAUUUGUGGCGUCGGUAUACAUCAUACUAGGUAGAUGGUUCAAUUGGCAUGGAUGGGUGGUGGAGCCUUGAAGUGCUUGUGAUGGGGAGCCCACGGCUUCUUCUCAGGAGUUGGUGGCUUCUUGUAUGGAGUUGAUGGAGGUGUUUCUACUGGAGGGUGGCCAGGGUAGUGACCCUGGGGUGGUGAAGGUUCUUUUGUCGGUGGUGGCCUCACUAUUAUUGGCGGUAGAGUUGGUGGCUUGGGCGUUGGCGGUGGUCUCACUACUCUUGGGGGUAGAGUUGGUGUCUUGUGUUUUGGUGGUGGAGGUGGCUUAACAGGAGUUGGUGGCUUGUAUUCUGGGGGUGGUUUCUCCACCGGAGGUGGCUUAUAAACUGGAGUUGGUGGCUUGUAUUCUGGGGGUGGCUUCUCCACUGGUGGUGGCCUGUAAACAGGGGUUGGUGGCUUAUAUUCUGGGGGAGGCUUCUCCACUGGAGGCGACUUAUAAACAGGGGUUGGUGGCUUGUAUUCCGGGGGUGGCUUCUCUACGGGAGGUGGCCUGUAAACAGGGGUUGGUGGCUUCUCCACCGGAGGUGGCUUAUAAACGGGGGUUGGUGGCUUGUAUUCUGGGGGUGGUUUCCCCAGUGGUGGAGACUUGUAAACAGGAAGAGGUGGUUUGUGCUCAUAUGGGGGUGGCUUGUGGUCAUUAGCAAGUGAGGGAGUGGUGAGGACCACCAAUCCAAGGAACAACACGAGUGAGCAAGCAGAAGACAUGUUUGGGCUCUGGUGAUGCACAAGUAGAAGAAAUGGGAACCAUUUAUAAUGCUUCGAGACCUUGGUUAGCACCAAAAUAUGUCAAAAUCUUGAUUACUUCAUUUCAUACAUAGAUUUAAAAUUAUUUCAAUCAACCAUGAUCCUUAAUUUUCUGG
rnacentral:lncRNA from 1 species